GGACGUUUAGCUCAGUUGGUUAGAGCGCUACAUUCACACUGUAGAGGUCAGUGGUUCGAGUCCACUAUCGUCCA
rnacentral:tRNA from 1 species